UACGUAGGGGACUAGCGUUGUCCGGAAUCAUUGGGCGUAAAGCGCGUGUAGGCGGUUUGGUAAGUCCGCUGUGAAAGUCAAGGGCUCAACCCUUGAAUGCCGGUUGAUACUGUCGGGCUAGAGUCCGGAAGAGGCGAGUGGAAUUCCCGGUGUAGCGGUGAAAUGCGCAGAUAUCGGGAGGAACACCAAUGGCGAAGGCAGCUCGCUGGGACGGUACUGACGCUGAGACGCGAAAGCGUGGGGGAGCAAACAGG
rnacentral:rRNA from 1 species